CGACCGGCGCACGGGUGAGUAACGCGUAUCCAACCUGCCUUACACUCUUGGACAGCCUUCUGAAAGGGAGAUUAAUACAAGAUGUUAUCAUGAGUAAGCAUUUUCACAUGAUUAAAGGUUCACCGGUGUAAGAUGGGGAUGCGUUCCAUUAGAUAGUAGGCGGGGUAACGGCCCACCUAGUCUUCGAUGGAUAGGGGUUCUGAGAGGAAGGUCCCCCACAUUGGAACUGAGACACGGUCCAA
rnacentral:rRNA from 1 species